rnacentral:rRNA from 1 species
CAGUAGCCGCGGUAAUACGUAGGGUGCAAGCGUUAAUCGGAAUUACUGGGCGUAAAGCGUGCGCAGGCGGUUAUAUAAGACAGAUGUGAAAUCCCCGGGCUCAACCUGGGAACUGCAUUUGUGACUGUAUAGCUAGAGUACGGCAGAGGGGGAUGGAAUUCCGCGUGUAGCAGUGAAAUGCGUAGAUAUGCGGAGGAACACCGAUGGCGCAGGCAAUCCCCUGGGCCUGUACUGACGCUCAUGCACGAAAGCGUGGGGAGCAAACAGGAUUAGAUACCCCGGUAGUCCCUGUCUCUUAUAC